GCAUUUACCAUGUCAAAAGCAGCUCUUUGGACAUGUUGCAAUGGGUAUAGGUCAUUGAAACAGGCUACGGGGAUUGAUAAGACUGAUUUUAAUUCAUUUCCUAUAUCGAUACAGCCUUGAGUCUUGAUAAGGGUGAUUUUUAUGCAUUUCCCAUGUCAAAACCAGCUCUUAGGACAUGUUGCAAUGGGUAUAGGUCAUUGAAACAGGCUACGGGGAUUGAUAAGACUGAUUUUAAUACAUUUCCUAUAUCAACACAGCCUUAAGUCUUGAUAAGGGUGAUUUUUAUGCAUUUACCAUGUCAAAACCAGCUCUUUGGACAUGUUGCAAUGGGUAUAGUGCAUUGAAACAGGCUACGGGGAUUGAUAAGACUGAUUUUAAUACAUUUCCUAUAUCGAUACAGCCUUAAGUCUUGAUAAGGGUGAUUUUUAUGCAUUUACCAUGUCAAAACCAGCUCUUAGGACAUGUUGCAAUGGGUAUAGUGCAUUGAAACAGGCUACGGGGAUUGAUAAGACUGAUUUUAAUACAUUUCCCAUAUCAACACAGCCUUAAGUCUUGACACGGGUGAUUUUUAUGCAUUUACCAUGUCAAAACCAGCUCUUAGGACACGUAGCAAUGGGUAUAGGUCAUUGAAACAGGCUACGGGGAUUGAUAAGACUGAUUUUAAUACAUUUCCCAUAUCAACACAGCCUUAAGUCUUGAUAAGGGUGAUUUUUAUGCAUUUACCAUGUCAAAACCAGCUCUUAGGACAUGUUGCAAUGGGUAUAGGUCAUUGAAAUAGGCUACGGGGAUUGAUAAGACUGAUUUUAAUACAUUUCCCAUAUCAACACAGCCUUGAGGACACGUUACACUGGAUAUAAGCCUUGAUAAGGGUGAUUUUUAUGCAUUUACCAUGUCAAAAACUAGCUCGAAAAUCCCUAAUCUGUCUCUCUUUAGCCAGCGAGGGGCCGUUUACAAGGUGGAUACCCUUCACUAAAUUGUUAAUAACUCUGUAAUUACCAUCGCCACAUCAAUUCCGGAGACAUAUUUGGAAUCCUCAUUAAAUUUUACAUCUAAUGAGUAUAUGAUUAAUCUUCUCACUACCAUAGAUGAUUUUAUAUGAAUUUUUUUGUAUAGGACUACACACAAUUUGUACAGCCUACGCACAUCCAUCAGACCUUAGACCUUAAAAUACCAGAGAUUCAAGAACGCAGAACGCAGACAUGAGCGAGACAUUCAGUACUCGAAAACCUCAAUCUGUCUCUCUUUAGCCAGCGAGGGGCCAUUUACAAGGUGGGUAUAGGGACACACAUCCAUCAGACCUUAGACCUUAAAAUACCAGAGAUUCAAGAACGCAGAACACAGACAUCAGCGAGACAUUCAGUACUCGAAAACCUCAAUCUGUCUCUCUUUAGCCAGCGAGGGGCCAUUUACAAGGUGGGUAUAGGGAAACACAUCCAUCAGACCUUAGACCUUAAAAUACCAGAGAUUCAGGAACGCAGAACACAGACAUCAGCGAGAAAUUCAGUACUCGAAAUACCUCAAUCUGUCUCUCUUUAGCCAGCGAGGGGCCAUUUACAAGGUGGGUAUAGGGACACACAUCCAUCAGACCUUAGACCUUAAAAUACCAGAGACUCAGGAACGCAGAACGCAGACAUCAGCGAGAUAUUCAGUACUUGAAAUACCUCAAUCUGUCUCUCUUUAGCCAGCGAGGGGCUGUUUACAAGGUGGGUAUAG